CAGCCGCCGCGGGAAUACGAAGGGGGCUAGCGUUGCUCGGAAUUACUGGGCGUAAAGGGAGCGUAGGCGGGUCGUUUAGUCAGAGGUGAAAUCCCGGGGCUCAACCUCGGAACUGCCUUUGAUACUGGCGACCUUGAGUAUGGGAGAGGUGAGUGGAACUCCGAGUGUAGAGGUGAAAUUCGUAGAUAUUCGGAAGAACACCAGUGGCGAAGGCGACUCACUGGCCCAUUACUGACGCUGAGGCUCGAAAGCGUGGGGAGCAAACAGGAUUAGAGACCCCCGUAGUCCCUGUCUCUUAUAC
rnacentral:rRNA from 1 species